rnacentral:piRNA from 1 species
UGACAGCUUUUCCCACAAUGUGCC